rnacentral:rRNA from 1 species
CCUACGGGUGGCAGCAGUGAGGAAUAUUGGUCAAUGGGCGCGAGCCUGAACCAGCCAAGUAGCGUGAAGGAUGACUGCCCUACGGGUUGUAAACCUCUUUUAUAAAGGAAUAAAGUGAGGCACGUGUGCCUUUUUGUAUGGACUUUAUGAAUAAGGAUCGGCGUACUCCGUGCCAGCAGCCGUGGGAAUACGGAGGGUCCGAGCGUUAUCCGGAUUUUAUGGGUUUAAAGGGAGCGGAGAUUGGUUGUUAAGUCAGUGGUGAAAGUUUGCGGCUCAACCGUAGAAUUGCCAUUGAUACUGGCAGUCUUGAGUACAGUUGAGGUAGGCGGAAUUCGUGGUGUAGCGGUGAAAUGCUUAGAUAUCACGAAGAACUCCGAUUGCGAAGGCAGCUUACUAACCUGCCACUGACAUUGAUGCUCGAAAGUGUGGGUAUCAAACAGGAUUAGAUACCCUUGUAGUC